CGUGCCUAACACAUGCAAGUCGUACGAGAAAGUUGGCUUCGGCCGAUGAGUACAGUGGCGCACGGGUGAGCAACGCGUGGAUAAUCUGCCCUUAAGUGUGGAAUAACGUACCGAAAGGUGCGCUAAUACCGCAUAAUGCCUGGCAACACAAGUUGUCCGGCCAAAGAAGGCCUCUGUUUACAAGCUUUCGCUUCAGGAUGAGUCCGCGUACCAUUAGCUUGUUGGUGGGGUAAUGGCCUACCAAGGCUGCGAUGGUUAGCUGGUCUGAGAGGAUGAUCAGCCACACUGGAACUGAGACACGGUCCAGACUCCUACGGGAGGCAGCAGUGAGGAAUAUUGCGCAAUGGGGGCAACCCUGACGCAGCAACGCCGCGUGAGUGAGGAAGGUUUUCGGACCGUAAAGCUCUGUCGAGUGGGAAGAAGUGUAUCAUGGCUAAUAUCCGUGAUAUUUGACGGUACCGCUAGAGGAAGCACCGGCUAACUCCGUG
rnacentral:rRNA from 1 species